CGUAGACCCGAAACCAGGUGAUCUACCCAUGUCCAGGAUGAAGGUGAGGUAAUACUCACUGGAGGUCCGAACCCACGCACGUUGAAAAGUGCGGGGAUGAGGUGUGGGUAGCGGAGAAAUUCCAAUCGAACCUGGAGAUAGCUGGUUCUCUCCGAAAUAGCUUUAGGGCUAGCCUCGAGGUAAAGAGUCGUGGAGGUAGAGCACUGUUUGGACUAGGGGCCCUUCUCGGGUUACCGAAUUCAGAUAAACUCCGAAUGCCAUGUACUUAUACUCGGGAGUCAGACUGCGAGUGAUAAGAUCCGUAGUCGAAAGGGAAACAGCCCAGACCACCAGUUAAGGUCCCAAAAUAUAUGUUAAGUGGAAAAGGAUGUGGGGUUGCAUAGACAACCAGGAUGUUGGCUUAGAAGCAGCCACCAUUGAAAGAGUGCGUAAUAGCUCACUGGUCGAGUGACCCCGCGCCGAAAAUGUACCGGGGCUAAACAUAUUACCGAAACUGUGGAUGAACCUCUUCGGAGGUUCGUGGUAGGAGAGCGUUCUAAGGGCGGUGAAGUCAGACCGGAAGGACUGGUGGAGCGCUUAGAAGUGAGAAUGCCGGUAUGAGUAGCGAAAGAAGGGUGAGAAUCCCUUCCACCGAAUAUCUAAGGUUUCCUGAGGAAGGCUCGUCCGCUCAGGGUUAGUCGGGACCUAAGCUGAGGCCGAUAGGCGUAGGCGAUGGACAACAGGUAGAUAUUCCUGUACCAGUGCUAGUUGUUUGAGCAAUGGGGUGACACAGAAGGAUAGGGAAUCGCACAGAUGGAAACGUGCGUCCAAGCAGUGAGUGUGAGAAGUAGGCAAAUCCGCUUCUCGCGAAGCAUGAGCUGUGAUGGGGAAGGAAAUUAAGUACGGAAGUUCCUGAUUUCACGCUGUCAAGAAAAGCCUCUAGUUAGAUUAGUACUGCCCGUACCGCAAACCGACACAGGUAGAUGAGGAGAGAAUCCUAAGGUGAGCGAGAGAACUCUCGUUAAGGAACUCGGCAAAAUGACCCCGUAACUUCGGGAGAAGGGGUGCUCUAUUAGGGUGAAAGCCCGAGAGAGCCGCAGUGAAUAGGCCCAGGCGACUGUUUAGCAAAAACACAGGUCUCUGCAAAACCGUAAGGUGACGUAUAGGGGCUGACGCCUGCCCGGUGCUGGAAGGUUAAGAGGAGUGCUUAGCGCAAGCGAAGGUACGAAUUGAAGCCCCAGUAAACGGCGGCCGUAACUAUAACGGUCCUAAGGUAGCGAAAUUCCUUGUCGGGUAAGUUCCGACCCGCACGAAAGGCGCAACGAUCUGGGCACUGUCUCAACGAGAGACUCGGUGAAAUUAUAGUACCUGUGAAGAUGCAGGUUACCCGCGACAGGACGGAAAGACCCCGUGGAGCUUUACUGCAACCUGAUAUGGAAUGUUUGUACCGCUUGUACAGGAUAGGUAGGAGCCGAAGAGACGUGAGCGCCAGCUUACGAGGAGGCAAUGGUGGGAUACUACCCUGGCUGUAUGACCAUUCUAACCCGCCACGCUUAGCGCGUGGGGAGACAGUGUCAGGUGGGCAGUUUGACUGGGGCGGUCGCCUCCUAAAGAGUAACGGAGGCGCCCAAAGGUUCCCUCAGAAUGGAUGGAAAUCAUUCGCAGAGUGUAAAGGCACAAGGGAGCUUGACUGCGAGACUGACAAGUCGAGCAGGGACGAAAGUCGGGCUUAGUGAUCCGGUGGUUCCGCAUGGAAGGGCCAUCGCUCAACGGAUAAAAGCUACCCCGGGGAUAACAGGCUUAUCUCCCCCAAGAGUCCACAUCGACGGGGAGGUUUGGCACCUCGAUGUCGGCUCGUCGCAUCCUGGGGCUGUAGUCGGUCCCAAGGGUUGGGCUGUUCGCCCAUUAAAGCGGCACGCGAGCUGGGUUCAGAACGUCGUGAGACAGUUCGGUCCCUAUCCGUCGCGGGCGCAGGAAAUUUGAGAGGAGCUGUCCUUAGUACGAGAGGACCGGGAUGGACACACCGCUGGUGUACCAGUUGUUCCGCCAGGAGCAUCGCUGGGUAGCUAUGUGUGGCAGGGAUAAACGCUGAAAGCAUCUAAGCGUGAAGCCCCCCUCAAGAUGAGAUUUCCCAUUUCUUUAAGAAAGUAAGAUCCCUGAAAGAAGAUCAGGUAGAUAGGUUUGGAGUGGAAGUAUGGCGACAUAUGGAGCGGACAAAUACUAAUCGAUCGAGGACUUAACCAAU
rnacentral:rRNA from 1 species